rnacentral:rRNA from 1 species
ACUGCUCCGUAACACGUGGAUAACCUGCCCUUGGGUCCGGCAUAACUCCGGGAAACUGGAGAUAAUUCCGGAUAACGCAUAUAUGCUGGAAUGCUUUAUGCGUAAAAUGGAUUCGUCUGCCCAAGGAUGGGUCUGCGGCCUAUCAGGUAGUAGUGGGUGUAAUGUACCUACUAGCCUACGACGGGUACGGGUUGUGAGAGCAAGAGCCCGGAGAUGGAUUCUGAGACAUGAGUCCAGGCCCUACGGGGCGCAGCAGGCGCGAAAACUUUACAAUGCGGGAAACCGUGAUAAGGGGACACCGAGUGCCAGCAUCAUAUGCUGGCUGUCCAGGUGUGUAAAAUACACCUGUUAGCAAGGGCCGGGCAAGACCGGUGCCAGCCGCCGCGGUAACACCGGCGGCCCGAGUGGUGAUCGUGAUUAUUGGGUCUAAAGGGUCCGUAGCCGGUUUGGUCAGUCCUCCGGGAAAUCUGAUAGCUCAACUAUUAGGCUUUCGGAGGAUACUGCCAGACUUGGAACCGGGAGAGGUAAGAGGUACUACAGGGGUAGGAGUGAAAUCUUGUAAUCCCUGUGGGACCACCUGUGGCGAAGGCGUCUUACCAGAACGGGUUCGACGGUGAGGGACGAAAGCUGGGGGCACGAACCGGAUUAGAUACCCGGGUAGUCCCAGCCGUAAACGAUGCUCGCUAGGUGUCAGGCAUGGCGCGACCGUGUCUGGUGCCGCAGGGAAGCCGUGAAGCGAGCCACCUGGGAAGCACGGCCGCAAGGCUGAAACUUAAAGGAAUUGGCGGGGGAGCAC